GAUGAACGCUGGCGGCGUGCCUAAUACAUGCGAGUCGAGCGAACGGACGAGAAGCUUGCUUUUCUAAUGUUAGCGGCGGACGGGUGAGUAACACGUGGAUAACCUACCUAUAAGACUGGGAUAACUUCGGGAAACCGGAGCUAAUACCGGAUAAUAUUUUGAACCGCAUGGUUCAAAAGUGAAAGACGGUCUUGCUGUCACUUAUAGAUGGAUCCGCGCUGCAUUAGCUAGUUGGUAAGGUAACGGCUUACCAAGGCAACGGUGCAUAGCCGACCUGAGAGGGUGAUCGGCCACACUGGAACUGAGACACGGUCCAGACUCCUACGGGAGGCAGCAGUAGGGAAUCUUCCGCAAUGGGCGAAAGCCUGACGGAGCAACGCCGCGUGAGUGAUGAAGGUCUUCGGAUCGUAAAACUCUGUUAUUAGGGAAGAACAUAUGUGUAAGUAACUGUGCACAUCUUGACGGUACCUAAUCAGAAAGCCACGGCUAACUACGUG
rnacentral:rRNA from 1 species